ensembl:lncRNA
CGUCCUCCUCCCUCUCGGAUCAGUCCGCAUGUUCACGGUGCAUUUUUUAUGGAAUAUGUUGAGCAAACCUGGAGAAGCGUCAGUUCAAGAUAUUAUUGUUGUCAUUGCUGUGGAUCUUUACCUGAUACACUGACUUGGUGAGUAAAUGUUUACUCUUAUUCAAACUGAUUUUGUGGCUUCUCUUAGUUUAGCACCAGGUUUAAAAUCUUGCUAGCUAGUUAGUGUUAGCCUAGCGUUGCUGCUGCCGCUGGGCUCAUCUUACUUAAAAAUGAACACCACAGCCUUAAAAACCUUACAUAAAACUAUGUGGUGAAAUUUUCUGUUGAUUGUUUGAAAUAAAUAAGUGAGAUAAGAGCCCAGACAAAAUACUUCGGGAGGUGCAGCCGUUAGGGGUGGGGUAGGUGUGGGGGGUGGAUAACAGAGCUCUCCGAAAAACGUGGAAGCACUUUUGCAAAUAUGUGAUAUUUUGAUAAAUUAAGUAGAUAUUUGAGCAUUACAUAGCUACAUUGUCGCCUGAAAAUAUCUUAAAAGGUUAUUUUGUGACCCAGAAAGGGUAGUCUGGGGAAAAGGAGGAUCGCAUUUGUCGGCCACGGUUGUCGGAGCCUGUGCGUACUUGUAAGCGCGGCAAUGGCGGAGGAGCGCCGCUGAAAAACUUAUUACUUUUUCUGGGUCACAAAAUAAACUUUUAAGAUAUUUUCAGGCGAGAAUGUAGCUGUGUAAAUUUCAAAUAUCUGCUUGAUUUAUCAAGACAUCACAUAUUUGCAAAAAUGCUCCGACGUUUUCGGAGACGUCUAUUUUUUUUUUUUUUUUCAUGCUUUGUGGCAGGUUUAGAACAUCUGUGGCAUCUAUUAAUGUCAAAUCUAGCCUUUAUUUAACAACAUAAGCAAACUCUAUGUUACAAUGAUUGCACAGCCAUUAAGGAUCAAAUCAGUUUCUGAAAAAUGUUCUGUUUUUUCUCCCUCUGCUUGCUUCUUACUGUCUUUGAGGCUCGGGACCAGCACUCCUGUUGUUGGACAGAAAGACAUCAACUCAGUGACUUGAGAUAUGACUGCACUAUGGUGUUGCUGAUCACUCCAGUUAAUUCUACAAGACAUGCUGUGACAACAGGAGAGAUGAGUCCUCCGUCACAGAUGGUGUGGUCAGUGAAGAUGGUCGCCUGCAGGUUCAAGCUCAUUGCAUCUCCAACCCACAUCCACUGCCACUGUACUUAAGGGAAGUUAAAGACUUUCUUCUGCACCUACAUUUGGAUCACCUCGAUCCAUGACAGUCAUUCAGGCAGUAAUGCCUGGACUGGAAACAAGCCAUCCUUAAAAUAAUACAACAUUCCAGCUCAUGUGUUGGAAUGGAAAACAAAUGUGUUGUUUAAAUCAGAGACUGCACUUGUGACAGAACAACAAAUAUUUUAUUUUGAUUAUAUAAGUAAUGUAAGUACAAAACAAACUGUGGUAGACCUAAACUUAUUUUCAGAAUAAUUAAAUCUGAGACUUUGUUUCAUUGUAAGAUUAUAACAGUGAUGGCAAUAUAAUUGUUUGUUGUUCAGCAGAACAGUGUCCAGUAUGUUGGCUGUUAUACUUUGUUGUGUUUGAAAAUAAAAGUUGGGCUGAUUUUAACAUCAUUACAAAAAUUGUUGUUAAUUAUUUUUAAUCAUAUUCAGGUUACCACAAAUUGUUUUUUCAUUUAGUUGAACUUAACAUGUUUGUCAGUAGGUAAACAAUUAGUAUUGUACAGUCAGAAAUAUCAAGUUAUUGUUAAUACUGCAGACUUGCAAUGUAUAAGUUGUCCUAACAGUCAUCUUAAGUAAGCUUUACUUAGUUUUUUUGAGGCAACGAGUUUCCAUAAUUUUUUUGAGUUCUGGGAACUAACAAGGCUGUACAGUGUACUCAAAAUGAGUAAGUUGCCCUAACUUGGUCAUCUUACGUAACCUUGAUCCAAUUUUUUUGAGUUCUGGGAACAAAUGAGCUUGUACACAGUACUCAAAGUAAAUAAGUUGUCCUAACUUAGUCAUUU